rnacentral:rRNA from 1 species
UGAGGAAUAUUGGUCAAUGGCCGAGAGGCUGAACCAGCCAAGUCGCGUGAGGGAUGACGGCCCUACGGGUUGUAAACCUCUUUUGUCGGGGAGCAAAGAGAGUCACGUGUGGCUCAUUGAGAGUACCCGAAGAAAAAGCAUCGGCUAACUCCGUGCCAGCAGCCGCGGUAAUACGGAGGAUGCGAGCGUUAUCCGGAUUUAUUGGGUUUAAAGGGUGCGCAGGCGGAGGUGCAAGUCAGUGGUCAAAUUGCGGGGCUCAACCCCGUACUGCCGUUGAAACUGCAUCCCUUGAGUGCGCGAGAAGUAUGCGGAAUGCGUGGUGUAGCGGUGAAAUGCAUAGAUAUCACGCAGAACUCCGAUUGCGAAGGCAGCAUACCGGCGCGCAACUGACGCUCAUGCACGAAAGCGUGGGUAUCGAACA